rnacentral:rRNA from 18 species
AAAUGACUCUCGGCAACGGAUAUCUCGGCUCACGCAUCGAUGAAGAACGUAGCAAAAUGCGAUACUUGGUGUGAAUUGCAGAAUCCCGUGAACCAUCGAGUUUUUGAACGCAAGUUGCGCCCAAAGCCAUCCGGUUGAGGGCACGCCUGCCUGGGCGUCAC